GCGGCUGAAAGCGUAGAGGACGACAUCGGCGCACUCCUCUUCCUCUUGAGCUGGCGUGGUGCUCUGUCCCCAACCUCCGAAUUUUCCAAUUUACAUACGAGUACGAGGGCAACGAUGCAGCCACGAGGACGGGAAAUCUCCAUCCCCACCGGCUGGUCAGCAGUGUGAGCUCUCGACGGUCAUCGACAUCGUCGCCCCACUCGCUCCCGAGAAGGCUGGAAGCGCAGAGACGGACAUCGGCGCACUCCUCCACCUCCAGCGAUGCUCUUUCCGUAAUAUCCGGCUGGUGGUGAGGAGGAACCCAAACCUCCGGCAGGCGGCCGACAGCUGGAGGCGUCGGGCAGGCAAGGUGAGUUGGUGCACGUGCAGGAGCUCACGCCGGCCACAAGCCGUCGAUGCGGCAGCGGGGACGGAGAUCGAGCAAGAUAAAAGUCUAAGGCAGCAGCCGUGACAAGUUUGAUGUUGACGCGCUGGAUCCAUGGCCACGGUGGAGUGGUCGACGCAAGUUUGAUGGCUGCGCUGGAUGCGGGAGGAGCCAUGGUAGCAACAGUGUACUCUACGGAGGGCGCUAGAUGUGGUGCGUUUGGCUCUAGGAGGAGAAGUGAUCCAGGAAAGGUUGGACUACAAUUCGUGCUCCCUUCCUCUUCCAUCUCUCCCUCUCUCUGAUUUUUAUUUAUUUGUUUAGAGCAUGUUCAUGUACUGUCUGAUACUGCUGGUUUUGCAAUGGAAAUUUCCCUCUAUAAGCUCCUUCGUUUUACAUUCUCAUGUUUCUCAGCUAGAUCACUAAGCACGAUAGUGUGAUAUCAGUUGUAUUAUGUCCACAUUAGCUUUUUAAACUCUACACAAUCACUCAACACUACUGUCAAACUGACAGAUAACCAGACAUGCAUUGUGAAACUAAACAAUUUAGUUUGGAAUUCUGCUAUCAUGUGGCAGCCCAUUAUCCUACUCCACGCAGAUUUCUGUAGAGUUUGAUUUGUUCAUUUGAUUGCCACGGUCAUCGUAGGUUCAUAUGUCAUCGUGCACUGCAGCGGCCGAAGCACAGCUGAAUGUGCAUUGUUAGGCAUAUCACAUACCAGUUAUCUAACUGCAAAUUGGUGUAUAGGUAAAAGGUACAUGCACCCAUCCACAGUAGGAGCAAAUCAUAUGGUGUUGAACUGUUUUGUUUUCAUGAGUUUCUAUUGAUUAUGCAUCUGAUGGAAAAUUGUGCUUUGAAAUAUUCAGAUGUACAAUAUGGUUUCAACUGAAUCCUUCCAUUUCCAUACCUAAAAAUAUAGGGCACAAAUCUGUAGGUCGACCUCAAUGAAUAUGUCGAAAAUCAUGGAUUUGUAUUAUGUUGUUAAUAGGGACAUUUCAUAUGAUGGGGUGAUCAAUGGACUGCACUUCAAACUAUUGGUGUAUUUUGCCAAAGCUGAGCCCAUCUGAUUUUCGUUUAUAUCCAGUAUAGCACCAAGAGAGUGGCAUAUUUGGAGCCUGAGAACACAAGAUAUUACAAGUUAUUUCUACUCUCCCAAGUCCCAAAUCCUCUGUUCGAGCUGAAUCUUAUUACAAAUAAUUGAAAGAAAAUAUGGUUUUACAUGCUCUGACUAUCUUAGUCUCGAUGGGUACCUAACUUGUUCAUCUGUAGUCUUACAGUGCACAUACUAGAGCACAAAAUAUCUGAGUUGUAUAUUUAGAAUCUACGUGGCCAACCACUAUAAAUGUAAUUAUUUUUUACAUUUAUUACUUGUGGCCGCCUAUUUUAAUUAUUUUAGUGACUAUCGCCUGGGUUGCAAUAUUUUUUAGCAUCUAUUGUACAUGCCAUGUAUAAGCUGUUGCCGAAUCCGUGAAGAGGCACAUACUUUUUUGCAGGGAUCUUACAUAUGCACUACUUGUGAGCAAAGAUUUGAUUGGCCGGUUUCCUUCAUCAUUCGAGGUGUGGAUUCUUUAUGGCAAAAAAAGUACUAGCAUAUGUAGCUCAGAAUGGAGGGGGAUCUACAUCUACCACGGUGGUCCAAUUUUGCUGAGGCGAAAGGUGUGACUACAGGUGACAUUCUGACCUUCACAUACAUCGCCAACUCUAUGAAGAAUGUACCCCAUCUUUGGCAACAACGGGUGUGAAAGAGAGAUCAGCCACAUUGAGUAAGCCGCUUCGUGGAAGCACUGUUAGUAUAAUAAUUAGCCAUCAUCGAGCUAUUUGCUUUUAUUCUCGCUUUUGCUGCCCCAGUCACACUAUUUUUCUGAUCACCUAUUUGUUAGCAUGACGUUCUUAAUUGUUUAAAUUAUAUAUCAUCGGACUGCAGUGACACUACUAAGCACCCUAAUUAUUUUAAUAAGGCUGUAUUGACCUAUUGUGUUCAUUAUAUGGAUUACCUGCCGUGUGCCUCUGUGUCUUCAAUAAUAAUUUCAUCUUUACAUAAUGUAUUUAUGAUUCUUUCGCUCUAUCAGAGAGUACACACCGCAGAGCACUUACAGAGGGUGCUUAAAAUGGCAGUUAUGGCAACCUAUAAGAGCCGCACUUAAAAGUUAAGCGUCUGACACAAACUAAAGCAUCGGUGCCUAAAAAACGAAGGUGUCAACAAUAAAGUAAAGCAAUUCAAAGAAGUAAGGAAGCGGAGAGAUACAAAAGGAGAGAAUGAAGAUAGAUAUGUCGAAACUUUUUGUUGUUGUUCUUGGA